UUAACCAUUUAUUUUAUUUAAAUAAAGAGUAUGUAUUUUUUUCAUUAUUCGAUAAUAGAAUAAAUUAUAAAACCAAAAACUUGAUUGUUAACAAGGACAAUUCAAGACGAAAAUUUGGAAGUUUAUGAAGAUUAUUCAACAAAAAAGUGAUUAUUGAAAAAGGCCAAUGUAGAAAUAUUUCUAGAAAAUGAUAAUUAAUGAUAUAAUGAUAAUUUACUUAAGCUUUUCGAUGAAAAAUCCAACAAGUUACUUACGAGAUUUAAAAUUCCAAAUAAUUUUUAACAUUCUUAUUCUAGUAAUUGAGAGUAAAUUGAUUCGUACAUUAAAGGAGCUUCCAUUAUAAUGAAUCCAAAAUUGGUUAAUGAUACUACUGGAAGAAUAAUUAAAUUAAUUGAUGAGUUUAUCAAAAUAAUAACUACGGACGAAUCUUAAAUACAAUUUUUGCUAAAAAAUAUACAAGAUUAUAAUCGUAAAUAAGCUAAAAAUGCAACUUUAUAAAUAAUGUGUAAUAUGUAUCCAGUAGAUAGGGAAGUGUUUGUAGGACGGAGAUGACCCAGUUAAAGGAGAUAAACUAAAUAGAUGUUAAGGUUGUAAAGAGUCGUGACCGUUUAUUACACUGGUUUAUCAAAAAAAAAAAAUUAAUAAUAAUCACUACAAA